rnacentral:rRNA from 1 species
GACGAAGGAUGCAAGCGUUAUCCGGAUUCAUUGGGUUUAAAGGGAGCGUAGGUGGCCUUAUAAGUCAGUGGUGAAAUCUCUGGGCUUAACCCAGAAAUUGCCAUUGAUACUGUAGGGCUUGAGUAUAGUUGCCGUUGGCGGAAUAUGACAUGUAGUGGUGAAAUACAUAGAGAUGUCAUAGAACACCGAUUGCGAAGGCAGCUGACGAAACUAUAACUGACACUGAGGCUCGAAAGUGCGGGGACCAAACAGG